AUGUAUAGCAAUUUUUUUUUAUAAAAUAAGUCGCAUCAUAUGAUUAUCUCAAACCAACAGACAUCGGAUCUGUUUAUAUCAAGAUGCUCGGCUCUAUACUACCAUGAUUAUGUUUCAAGCCCAUGAUAAAUCAACAAAAAUGGCUAGUCUUGUAGACUACCACAAUCACCCAUACAAAGGGUAACAAGUAGCUAGUCUUGUGGACUAUCACAACCAUAUUUCAAGCCCA
rnacentral:lncRNA from 1 species